UACGGGGGGAGCAAGCGUUGUUCGGAUUUACUGGGCGUAAAGGGCGCGUAGGCGGUCAGCACAAGUCAGUUGUGAAAUCUCCGAGCUUAACUCGGAAAGGUCAACUGAUACUGUGCGACUAGAGUGCAGAAGGGGCAACUGGAAUUCUUGGUGUAGCGGUGAAAUGCGCAGAUAUCAGGAGGAACACCGGUGGCGAAGGCGGGUCUCUGGGCCGAUACUGACGCUGAGGAGCGAAAGCGUGGGGAGCGAACAGG
rnacentral:rRNA from 1 species